GUAAACAUUGUUAUCUUGCUUUCCUUUUCACUUUUCCUUUUCCCUUUAUUCGGCUUUUUAGGUCUCACUCACCCUGAGCCCGGUUAUAAGUCUCGAUCUGGGUGUCCAUUACUAAUCGAUUUAAAGGAGAGAGUGCAACGCGAAAUAAUAGCUCAUCCAUGAGGAGAAAGAACAAGGGAAUUAUCCCAUCGCAAGACGUAUAACAAUGACUUAAUCAGCAUUUAUGGAGAGGCGACGCAUCUGUGUGGAUGGGACCUGUACGUUGUUAUGGAAAACAGAUGCAUUUAUGGCCACAGGGAGUUUCUGUGCGACUCUCUCUCUCUUUCUCUCUCGCGGCGAGAUCUUAAGCAGAGAAAAGUGAAACGUGGAGAAUUGGUGGAGGCGAACGGAGUCACCAUGACAAAUCAUAUUCUCUGGAGAUGAAGAGAAAAGGCCCUGGAAAAAGGAAAAAUGAGAGACGCAUGGAGGGGAUGGAGAGGCAAAAAGCCAUUUUGGAAAGCCGUGGUGCUGGAAAGCCGGAUCAGUCUGAGCGCUGCCUUUGACAAAGUGCUCUGAGGAAACCAUCACACACACAUACACAAACACUGGUGAUGAUAGUUGUGGUUGUUGUUGAAGAAUUAAGUAUGACCUUCACUCUAAUCGUGUUAGACAUUGGAAGGAAAGCGUCUAAUCAUCAAUCACUCAGCAGUCAGUAGAGUGGAAAGAUCACCCAACUCAAACACAGCGGGGACAAACAACAGCAUGCGGGGCUGUGACUGUACCAGCCCACCUUCACGUUCACCAUUAUCGCCAGGGUUGUCCUUCGCUUAGGAUCUUCAAGCAGUUUUUAAUGGCAUGGAUAAAGCGUGUUUAUGUCAUUGACAUCGUGUUCAAUUUACAAAGGAAAUGUUUUGUGGCCAUUGUUUUGGCCAUUGAUUUGCAGGGCA
rnacentral:lncRNA from 1 species